GAUGAACGCUAGCGGGAGGCCUAACACAUGCAAGCCGAGCGGUAUUGUUUCUUCGGAAAUGAGAGAGCGGCGUACGGGUGCGGAACACGUGUGCAACCUGCCUUUAUCUGGGGGAUAGCCUUUCGAAAGGAAGAUUAAUACUCCAUAAUAUAUUGAACGGCAUCGUUUGAUAUUGAAAGCUCCGGCGGAUAGAGAUGGGCACGCGCAAGAUUAGCUAGUUGGUGAGGUAACGGCUCACCAAGGCGAUGAUCUUUAGGGGGCCUGAGAGGGUGAUCCCCCCCACUGGUACUGAGACACGGACCAGACUCCUACGGGAGGCAGCAGUGAGGAAUAUUGGUCAAUGGGUGCAAGCCUGAACCAGCCAUCCCGCGUGAAGGACGACUGCCUUAUGGGUUGUAAACUUCUUUUGUAUAGGGAUAAACCUACCCUCGUGAGGGUAGCUGAAGGUACUAUACGAAUAAGCACCGGCUAACUCCGUGCCAGCCGCCGCCGUAAGAC
rnacentral:rRNA from 1 species